rnacentral:rRNA from 1 species
UGGGGAAUAUUGGACAAUGGGCGCAAGCCUGAUCCAGCCAUGCCGCGUGUGUGAAGAAGGCCUUUUGGUUGUAAAGCACUUUAAGCGAGGAGGAGGCUACUGAGAUUAAUACUCUUGGAUAGUGGACGUUACUCGCAGAAUAAGCACCGGCUAACUCUGUGCCAGCAGCCGCGGUAAUACAGAGGGUGCGAGCGUUAAUCGGAUUUACUGGGCGUAAAGCGUGCGUAGGCGGCUUCUUAAGUCGGAUGUGAAAUCCCUGAGCUUAACUUAGGAAUUGCAUUCGAUACUGGGAAGCUAGAGUAUGGGAGAGGAUGGUAGAAUUCCAGGUGUAGCGGAGAAAUGCGUAGAGAUCUGGAGGAAUACCGAUGGCGAAGGCAGCCAUCUGGCCUAAUACUGACGCUGAGGUACGAAAGCAUGGGGAGCAAACAGG